GACGAACGCUGGCGGCGUGCUUAACACAUGCAAGUCGAACGGAAAGGCCCUGCUUUUGUGGGGUGCUCGAGUGGCGAACGGGUGAGUAACACGUGAGUAACCUGCCCUUGACUUUGGGAUAACUUCAGGAAACUGGGGCUAAUACCGGAUAGGAGCUCCUGCUGCAUGGUGGGGGUUGGAAAGUUUCGGCGGUUGGGGAUGGACUCGCGGCUUAUCAGCUUGUUGGUGGGGUAGUGGCUUACCAAGGCUUUGACGGGUAGCCGGCCUGAGAGGGUGACCGGCCACAUUGGGACUGAGAUACGGCCCAGACUCCUACGGGAGGCAGCAGUGGGGAAUAUUGCACAAUGGGCGGAAGCCUGAGGCAGCAACGCCGCGUGCGGGACGACGGCCUUCGGGUUGUAAACCGCUUUCGCCUGUGACGAAGCGUGAGGGACGGGAAUGGGUAAAGAAGCACCGGCUAACUACGU
rnacentral:rRNA from 1 species